rnacentral:rRNA from 1 species
UACGAAGGGGGCUAGCGUUGCUCGGAAUCACUGGGCGUAAAGCGCACGUAGGCGGACUCUUAAGUCAGGGGUGAAAUGCCAAGGCUCAACCUUGGAACUGCCUUUGAUACUGGAGAUCUUGAGUCCGGGAGAGGUGAGUGGAAUUGCGAGUGUAGAGGUGAAAUUCGUAGAUAUUCGCAAGAACACCAGUGGCGAAGGCGGCUCACUGGCCCGGAACUGACGCUGAGGUGCGAAAGCGUGGGGAGCAAAGCAGG